CCUAUUAGCUAGAUGGUAAGGUAACGGCUUACCAUGGCAACGAUAGGUAGGGGUCCUGAGAGGGAGAUCCCCCACACUGGUACUGAGACACGGACCAGACUCCUACGGGAGGCAGCAGUGAGGAAUAUUGGACAAUGGGUGAGAGCCUGAUCCAGCCAUGCCGCGUGCAGGAAGACUGCCCUAUGGGUUGUAAACUGCUUUUAUACAGGAAGAAACACUCCCUCGUGAGGGAGCUUGACGGUACUGUACGAAUAAGGACCGGCUAACUCCGUGCCAGCAGCCGCGGUAAUACGGAGGGUCCAAGCGUUAUCCGGAAUUAUUGGGUUUAAAGGGUCCGCAGGCGGUCAAUUAAGUCAGAGGUGAAAUCCCAUCGCUUAACGAUGGAACUGCCUUUGAUACUGGUUGACUUGAGUUGUACGGAAGUGGAUAGAAUGUGUAGUGUAGCGGUGAAAUGCAUAGAUAUUACACAGAAUACCGAUUGCGAAGGCAGUCCACUACGUAUAUACUGACGCUCAUGGACGAAAGCGUGGGGAGCGAACAGGAUUAGAUACCCUGGUAGUCCACGCCGUAAACGAUGGACACUAGUUGUUGGGCAUUAGCUCAGUGACUAAGCGAAAGUGAUAAGUGUCCCACCUGGGGAGUACGGUCGCAAGAUUGAAACUCAAAGGAAUUGACGGGGGCCCGCACAAGCGGUGGAGCAUGUGGUUUAAUUCGAUGCAACGCG
rnacentral:rRNA from 1 species